GGGGAGUAUGUGGAGAUACUCAAAACCCAGCUGGGUUUUGGGAACCCAGAACUGGUUCUAGGUGACCCAUCCUGAGCAGGGGGGUUGCACUAGAUGGUCUCCAGAGGUCUUGUCCGACCUCAACUAUUCCGUGAUUAUCUCUACCUGUUAAGCCAUAUGAUGCUAUGGUGGCUCCCAAAACCUCCACUAAUGGUACGGCAGAGGCACGAAGAGCUACUCCGAGGAAGACCCCUCCACAGAAGUGUGAAUCUUAUCUUUCCUGAUCCGUAUAAUCUCUUUUGCAUGGCAGAGGGGCAAAGUUUGAGCAAUCUCAAUGGUUAUCUUCUGCCGUCCUGUACCACGAUCCCGGUCGUAUGCAACGCAGGAGCGCGGGCAGCUGCAGGGCGGGAGGAGACGGAAAAGCCGGCGGCGGAUCGGCCUCCAAGCGUGGCAGGAGCCGUGGGCUCGACUCCCUGCUCGCCCGGCCCAUUGGGAGCCUGGGGCUGGCAGGGUGCAGGCAGGGGAGGGGAGGGCUGUGGCAUCCCCCAGAAGGUCAUGCUUGACUAUCAAGGAUAAUUUCUUCUUUCUUCCUUCCUCUCUUGUUCUUUUUCUCUCAUUCUUUCAUUCUUCAUCAAGCUUUCUAGUUUCCCUUCCUUCUUUCCUUCUUUUCUUUUCUUUCCUUUUCUUCCUCUUUCUUCCCUUUUCUUCCCUUUCCCUUCCUUUCCUUCUUUCCUCUCCUUUGCUUUCCUCUUUCCUUUUUUUCCCUUUCCCUUCCUUUCCUUCUUUCCUCUCCUUUUCUUUCCUSUUUCCUUUUUUUCCCUUUCCCUUCCUUCUUUCCUCCCUUUUUUCUUCCUCGUUCCCUCCCUUUCYSUUCCUUCUUUCCUCCCUUUUUUCUUCCUCKUUCCCUCCCUUCUUUCCUUUUUCUUCCUCUUUCCUCCCUUCUUUCCUUUUCUUUCCUUUUUUCUUCCUCUUUCCUCCYUUUUCUUCCCUUCCCCUUCCUUUCUUUCCUUUUUUCUUCCUCUUUCCUCCCUUCUUUUUCUUCCCUUUCCCUUCCUUCUUCCCUUUUCUUCCCUUUCCCUUCCUUCUUCCUUUCCUUCCUUCCUUCUCCCUUUCAUUCCUGUUCUCUCAUUCCUUCAUUCUUUCUCCAUCUCUCAUUCUUUCUUUUCCUCCUUCUUUUCUUUCCUUCCCUCUUUUUUCCUUUUUUUCUUUCCCUCCGUUUUUCUUUCUCUCCUUCUUUCUCUAUCUAUCUAUCACAGCUGUGAAGCAUUUCCUUUCCCGCACGCUCACGCCCAGCGCAGGACGCAGCCGUCCCGGGCGGCUCCGUCAGCCGCACCGUGGCCCGAGCUCGGCAGAUCCGCCGGGAUCCCAUUUCUCCGGGAACCUGGAGCACGAGGAUGAGCCCUGGUCUGGGGUGCGGCGGGCUCCUCCUGCACCACGCUCGCACCUCCCUGCGCUCCACAGCUGCGGCCUCCCCAUGCAUCAUGCUCACACCCCCCCCCCCAUGCAACACACUCACAGCCCCCCCAUGCACCAUGCUUGCAGCCCCCUCCCCUGUGCAACACACUUGCAGACCCCUCCCCUGUGCAACACACUUGCAGACCCCUUCCCCGUGCAGCACGCUCACAGCCCCCCCAGGCACCACGCUUGUGGCCCCCCCCC
ensembl:lncRNA